rnacentral:rRNA from 1 species
GAGUUUGAUCCUGGCUCAGGAUGAACGCUGGCGGCGUGCUUACACAUGCAAGUCGAGCGAAGCGCUCACGCGGAAUUUUUCGGAAGGAAGCGGGAGUGACUUAGCGGCGGACGGGUGAGUAACGCGUGGGUAACCUGCCCCAUACCGGGGGAUAACGGUUAGAAAUGACCGCUAAUACCGCUUAAGCGCGCGAGGCCGCAUGGCCGCGCGCGAAAAACUCCGGUGGUAUGGGAUGGGCCCGCGUCUGAUUAGGUAGUUGGCGGGGUAAGGGCCCACCAAGCCGACGAUCAGUAGCCGACCUGAGAGGGUGGCCGGCCACAUUGGGACUGAGACACGGCCCAAACUCCUACGGGAGGCAGCAGUGGGGAAUAUUGCGCAAUGGGGGAAACCCUGACGCACCAACGCCGCGUGAGUGAGGAAGUAUCUCGGUAUGUAACGCUCUAUCAGCGGGGAAGAAGAAAGACGGUACCCGACCAAAAAACCCCGGCUAACUACGUGCCCCCCGCCGCGGUAAUACUUAGGGGGCGAGCGUUAUCCGGAAUUUCUGGGUGGUAAUGGACCGUCGACGGCGCCGCAAGUCUGAAGUGAAAGCCCGUGGCUCAACCGUCGGAACGCCUUUGGAAACUCCCAAGCUGGAGUGCUGGACGAGGUAAUCGGAAUUCUUGGUGCUCACCCUACACCGCCCAAAUAUCGGGAGGAC